UUUCCUCGAGAGUUUCGCGAGAACGCGCGAGGUUGAGAGAGGCAGGCAGUCGUACUCGCCGGCUUCUGGUGCAGACGAAAAUCCAUAUCGAGAACGUGGUGCAUUCUCCGAAUUUCGCGGUUUUCAUAUAUUCACGAAUGACUCCGCAGACUCCUAUUAUUAUUAUUAUUAUUCUUCCUUCUUCGCCACGUGCCCUGUCGUAUCUUCUUAUCAACGAAGGAUGCAACUACCCUUUCAGUUUUGCAGUAAACACCAACGCAAAGCAUCACGUAUGGACAACGUAAAUAACGAAGCGAGGGGAAAUAAAAGGAACGGCUGAUUUCCGCAGGGCAUAUCUGUGACAUUAUUAACUUUAGCUGUAACGAGAUAAGGAAUAUCAGAGAAAACGUAUAUAACUUUUUCUUUUGAGCCUUACCAACUUUAGCAAUUUUUAAUCCAUACAAACUACGAUGUAGUGGGACGUAUUCCGAUUCAAAGUUAAAGACAAGAAUAGAAUAUCUUACAUUUUAUUUUUCUGUUACGAGUAACCUCAUACGAAAUGAAAAGAGUCAUGGAAACGAUACGCGCAUAUUAGAUAAUAGAUCAAAGUAAAAAAUAUUUGACAACAAGUGGAAGAGAAACAGAAACAGAAAGAAUAUUUAUAGAAACGAUAUUCUAUUUGUGCAGUAACUACUAUAGCAUAUAUGGGACAAUUAAAAACUAGAAGGAAAGAGAAAGAUUAAAGUACUUACUAAAAGUUGUGAAAAAAGAAGAAAAAAUAUAAUUGGAGAAACAAAAAAAAAGAAUAAAUAGAAUUUUAUAUUAAAAGAGAGACUAUUCUCGCGCAAUCUGCCAAUUUAGAUCUUUUCGCAAUUAUCUCUCUCUGAUCGAUUAAAUCCCAAUAUUUUGUUAAGUUUAAAAGAAAAAUUCCGAAAUAACGAGAGAGAAAAAUAAAUAAGACAUGGCUAGCUGGCUGUCGUCGAACAGCGACGAAUCUAUGGAUCGUAAUUACGUGCGAAACGCUUUGAAGUACAUUACGGACUUCAAGGAGGACUUUAACAACGAGAAAGAAUUGAAGUGCCUCGCACGACAGCAUCAAGAGCUUUUGUUGGAACAACGAUACCAACGUCAAGCCAUCAAUGAUGGUGUUAAAGAAGGAAUAGUCACGGAGGGCCGUGAUGGCUGCGAAAUUAAUUGGGACUCUUUACUCUGUUGGCCUUACACCUCACCGGGAACUCUUGCCGUAUUACCUUGCUUCGAAGAACUUAAUGGCAUACGGUACGACAAUACACAGAACGCAAGUCGAUGGUGUUGGCAAAAUGGUACAUGGGAUAGUUAUACAAAUUAUUCUUCGUGUCAUAACAUUCAACCUUCAACCGUAGAAGCUGAUGUAGAAAUUACAACAAAAAUAUACUUCAUUGGUUAUGGCUUAUCUCUUUGUACACUAGCAGUAGCUGUCUCCAUAUUUCUAUAUUUUAAAGAACUGAGAUGUCUCAGGAACAAUAUUCAUAUAAAUUUAAUGUUAACGUACAUUCUGGCUGACCUUAUGUGGAUAUUAACUACCGCAAUGCAGGUUUCCAUGCAAACAGAUAUACCAACUUGUGUCAUGUUCUUCUCCCUUCUUCAUUAUUUUCAACUGACCAAUUUCUUCUGGAUGUUUGUCGAAGGAUUGUAUCUCUAUUUGUUAGUUGUAAGAACUUUUACGGGUGAUAAUAUUAAGUUGAGGAUGUGUCUUGUGAUCGGUUGGGGUGUUCCAAUUUUCAUCAUAGCCAUAUGGGGUAUUGCCAAAUCUUUGGUCACUCAAGAAAAUCAGAAUAUCGCACUUUGGAAACACUGUCCAUGGAUGACAUCACAUCCAUGCGAUUGGAUUUAUCAAGCAUCUGUCAUUACAGUUCUUGCUGUUAAUGUAAUUUUCUUAUUCUUGAUCAUGUGGGUACUAAUAACUAAAUUAUGGUCCGCGAACAAUGCAGAAACGCAACAAUACAGAAAAGCUAGCAAAGCUUUACUGGUGCUCAUACCACUUCUUGGAGUGACAUAUGUUCUGGUUCUCGCUGGACCAACGGAAGGUCAAGCGGCUAAUGCAUUUUCUUACACCCGUGCUGUGUUACUUUCUUCUCAGGGUUUGCUGGUGACGCUAUUCUAUUGUUUUCUCAAUACCGAGGUGCAAAGUGCACUGAGACAUCACUUUGCAACGUGGACAACGUCGCGUGAUCUUGGCAAUAGUCGAAGGUAUUACAAGAAUUGGUCUCCGCGCUCAAGAACAGAAAGCAUAAGGUACUUGAAGUCCGCGCCGAAGACGCGCACGUCUUAAAAUCGCUUUGCGGUGCUUCAAGACGUUGAAAGAACGCAGAAAUGACGAACGUGAGCGACUCUCCUCUUUUAAUUUUAUUUUGUAAGACGACCGAAAUGUAGAAAAUCGAGAGAAGCUGCGUUUCUUCAACGAUAAAUCUUAUCGAGAAAUAAUCAAGGCUAUACGGCCAACCUUCAAAUCCAUAUCGUAAAAGGGAAUCUACGGUAAGUGAAACAACAACCACAACGGUGAUAGGUCCAAAUUCAACAACAACCUUUCUGGACAAAUCUAAGAAACCCAUUUCAGAAGACUCAAAUGAAUAAAGUUUAACACAAAGCGAAUUUUGAUGGGAGAAGAAACUGUGGUAAGAUAAUUAAGCGUAAUGAACUCAUUGUAGAAAUAUCUUUUCAUAAAUGUCAUCGUGUUAUCAAUUAUGAUGUUAAUAUAUUGAUGAUGUACUUCUCGCGAUCUGUAUACAUUGUAUAUGUUAUUGAUUGCUUCAAAAUUUUCAACGCAUCUUUGUUCACUUAAAAAGUAUUCACGAUUUUUCUACCAGCCAAAAAUUAUGAUAUAUAAUUAAUAUUAAUAUGCAUUAAAUCGAUUAAAUACUACUAAUAAAUAUUAUAUUAUUAUUUUGUUAUAAGAUUAUAAGACUCCUUUAUUUUUCCACUUUUAUCGUUAGCAAUAAUAGAGUUUUUGUUUGUUUUUAAAUAUUUAAAAAUCUGUAAGCAAACUUGAAAGAUGAGAUUCAAAUGUCUAUACGAGUGUACGUAUUUAUGUAUAGAAAUUAAUUUUCAAUUAUAGGAAUCCAUAAAAUUCAUUUACAUAUAUUCCUUGGAUAUAUACACGUUCGCUGAUACAUAUAUAUAUUGGGUAAGUAAUCGUAUGUCAUUAUAAUAUUUUGUUUUAUUUUUUCAUGUAAAAUCAACCCCUAUCUAGUUGUACUACGAUUACUAACCCACCCUGUAUAAUAAUAUUCUACACAUACCUCCUGACUUACAGCAUGGUACGAUUAAAAUUAAUGUAUAUGUAUAGUAUUUUAUCUAUUAGUAUUUAAUUAUUGUAAAUGAAAUAUUGUAUGUGUACAUAAAAUAGUAUAAGAGCAUAUAAUAUUAAGUUAUGCAGUUGAGAUCUUCAUUUUGGAUUAUCUUCAUUUUCACAUUGUAAAAUUCAAUUAAAUAUUAAUUACAAACUAGACUGAAUAAUAUUAUUUUAAGGAAAUGUAAAACGCGGAAUAACUCUAUCAAAUAUAUUUGAAAAUGUUACUAAAAAAAACAAA
rnacentral:misc_RNA from 1 species